rnacentral:rRNA from 1 species
AUUGAACGCUGGCGGCAGGCCUAACACAUGCAAGUCGAACGGUAACAGGAAGAAGCUUGCUUCUUUGCUGGCGAGUGGCGGACGGGUGAGUAAUGUCUGGGAAACUGCCUGAUGGAGGGGGAUAACUACUGGAAACGGUAGCUAAUACCGCAUAACGUCGCAAGACCAAAGAGGGGGACCUUCGGGCCUCUUGCCAUCGGAUGUGCCCAGAUGGGAUUAGCUAGUAGGUGGGGUAACGGCUCACCUAGGCGACGAUCCCUAGCUGGUCUGAGAGGAUGACCAGCCACACUGGAACUGAGACACGGUCCAGACUCCUACGGGAGGCAGCAGUGGGGAAUAUUGCACAAUGGGCGCAAGCCUGAUGCAGCCAUGCCGCGUGUAUGAAGAAGGCCUUCGGGUUGUAAAGUACUUUCAGCGGGGAGGAAGGGAGUAAAGUUAAUACCUUUGCUCAUUGACGUUACCCGCAGAAGAAGCACCGGCUAACUCCG